GUGCAAAUAACAUGAGAGUUUUUAAAUCUGUUUCAUAAAUUUAAUGAAUGGCUAGGAAAAUGAUAUAGAUUUCAAAAUUUAAAGUAAAAGUAAAAUUAUUUAUUUUUGUGUGAAUAGUUAUCAAAGGUACCAGGAUUAUAAUUUAAGUACGCCAGGACCGCGCGUUUCGUCUACAUAAGGACUCAUCAGUGACGCUCAUAUCGAAAUAUUUUGAUGAAAAUAUGAUCAUAAUGUUUUGUCAUUUAAUUUUAAAAGUGUAAAGAAGAUUUUAUUUUUCAUAUUUGAAACAAAUUAAAAAUGGAGUUUAAAUGCCUGUUAUC
rnacentral:lncRNA from 1 species